rnacentral:rRNA from 1 species
GUGAGGAAUAUUGCGCAAUGGAGGCAACUCUGACGCAGCCAUGCCGCGUGCAGGAAGAAGGCGCUACGCGUUGUAAACUGCUUUUAACCGGGAAGAAACCCCAGGACGUGUCCUGGGUUGACGGUACCGGAGGAAUAAGCACCGGCUAACUUCGUGCCAGCAGCCGCGGUAAUACGAAGGGUGCAAGCGUUAUCCGGAUUCAUUGGGUUUAAAGGGUGCGUAGGCGGAGCGUUAAGUCAGUGGUGAAGUCCUGCAGCUUAACUGUAGACUUGCCAUUGAUACUGGCGCUCUUGAGUGCGCUUGAAGUGGGCGGAAUGUGCCGUGUAGCGGUGAAAUGCUUAGAUAUGGCACAGAACACCAAUUGCGAAGGCAGCUCACUAAGGCGAUACUGACGCUGAGGCACGAAAGCGUGGGGAUCGAACAGGAUUAGAAACCCGUGUAGUCC